UACGUAGGGACCAAGCGUUGUUCGGAUUUACUGGGCGUAAAGGGCGCGUAGGCGGCAAUUCAAGUCAUCUGUGAAAUCUCCGGGCUUAACUCGGAACGGUCAGAUGAUACUGCUUUGCUAGAGUGCGGAAGGGGCAAUCGGAAUUCUUGGUGUAGCGGUGAAAUGCGUAGAUAUCAAGAGGAACACCUGAGGUGAAGACGGGUUGCUGGGCCGACACUGACGCUGAGGCGCGAAAGCCAGGGGAGCGAACGGG
rnacentral:rRNA from 1 species